rnacentral:miRNA from 1 species
GACUGAAGAUGAGAUUGAGAGAGAAGAUGAGAGGGGAGGAUGAGAAGAAGUAGUAACUAAAGUGAAAAUAAAAAUUAAAAACUGAAAUAUAUUUGAAAUUGUUUUCACUUUUGUUACUUUUCUCUCCCAUCGUACCCUCUCGUCUUCUCUCUCAAUCUCAUCCUAACUCU